rnacentral:rRNA from 1 species
AGCAGCCGCGGUAAUUCCAGCUCCAAUAGCGUAUAUUAAAGUUGUUGCAGUUAAAAAGCUCGUAGUUGAAUUUCGGGGUCAGUAGAUUGGUCGUGCCACUGGUAUGUACUGGUCUUACUAGCUCCUCCUUCCUGAUGAACCGUAAUGCCAUUAAUUUGGUGUUGCGGGGAGACUGGACUGUUACUUUGAAAAAAUUAGAGUGUUUAAAGCAGGCUAACGCUUGAAUACAUUAGCAUGGAAUAAUGAAAUAGGACGUUCGAUCUUAUUUUGUUGGUUUCUAAGAUUGACGUAAUGAUUAAUAGGGAUAGUUGGGGGCAUUAGUAUUCAAUUGUCAGAGGUGAAAUUCUUGGAUUUAUUGAAGACUAACUACUGCGAAAGCAUUUGCCAAGGAUGUUUUCAUUAAUCAAGAACGAAAGUUAGGGGAUCGAAGACGAUCAGAUACCGUCGUAGUCUUAACCAUAAACUAUAGCCGACUAGGGAUCGGAUGAUGUUAAUUUUUAAUGACUCAUUCGGCGCCUUA